rnacentral:ncRNA from 1 species
CACCCCGUACGCGACUGGCGAUAGGCGCAGCACCCCCCACGGUGCCACGCGCUGACGUGGAAUACCACUGGGAAGCGUGCCGCCUGGCAUCCAUACAGGCGUUCAGCCGUUCGCCUGGGCAGCCCUU